rnacentral:rRNA from 1 species
GACGAACGCUGGCGGCGUGCUUAACACAUGCAAGUCGAACGGAAAGGCCCUUUCGGGGGUACUCGAGUGGCGAACGGGUGAGUAACACGUGGGUGAUCUGCCCUGCACUUUGGGAUAAGCCUGGGAAACUGGGUCUAAUACCGGAUAGGACUACGCGAUGCAUGUCGUGUGGUGGAAAGCUUUUGCGGUGUGGGAUGGGCCCGCGGCCUAUCAGCUUGUUGGUGGGGUGAUGGCCUACCAAGGCGACGACGGGUAGCCGGCCUGAGAGGGUGUCCGGCCACACUGGGACUGAGAUACGGCCCAGACUCCUACGGGAGGCAGCAGUGGGGAAUAUUGCACAAUGGGCGCAAGCCUGAUGCAGCGACGCCGCGUGAGGGAUGACGGCCUUCGGGUUGUAAACCUCUUUCAAUAGGGACGAAGCGCAAGUGACGGUACCUAUAGAAGAAGCACCGGCCAACUACGUGCCAGCCGCCGCCGUAA